UACGUAGGGCGCGAGCGUUGUCCGGAUUUAUUGGGCGUAAAGAGCUCGUAGGCGGCUUGUCGCGUCGGCUGUGAAAACCCGCGGCUCAACUGUGGGCGGGCAGCUGAUACGGGCAGGCUGGAGUUCGGUAGGGGAGACUGGAAUUCCUGGUGUAGCGGUGAAAUGCGCAGAUAUCAGGAGGAACACCGGUGGCGAAGGCAGGUCUCUGGCAUUAACUGACGCUGAGGAGCGAAAGCAUGGGGAGCGAACAGG
rnacentral:rRNA from 1 species